rnacentral:misc_RNA from 1 species
UGUGGGAGCGAGCCUGCUCGCGAUGGCGGUGUGUCAGUCAGCAUGAAUAUUGCUGACCUACCGCUAUCGCGAGCAGGCUCGCUCCCACA